UACAGAGGGUGCGAGCGUUAAUCGGAUUUACUGGGCGUAAAGGGCGCGUAGGUGGUAAAGCAAGUCAGAUGUGAAAGCCCUGGGCUUAACCUGGGAAGUGCAUCUUAAACUGCUUAACUAGAGUAUGGUAGAGGGUAGUGGAAUUUCCGGUGUAGCGGUGAAAUGCGUAGAGAUCGGAAGGAACGCCAGUGGUGAAGACGACUACCUGGACCAAUACUGACACUGAGGCGCGAAAGCGUGGGGAUCAAACAGG
rnacentral:rRNA from 1 species